CUUCUCGUGGCGUAACGAUAAUGCGCCCUGUCUAGCAAAUCGGGUGUCGUGAGUUCAAUUUUCACCGAGAAGA
rnacentral:tRNA from 1 species